GCGUUCCGAUGGAGACGAUUGUUACGCUCCGACCAAAUGCAAUAAAUCGAAGCUUGCCAUGCAAUUAGCAGAAGUUUUCGUCUUGGCUUUGAGACAGAGUAUGAGCUUAGCUGGGUGAGAAGUGUAUCCCAACUUCGAGAGGAUAGGUAGUUGCACUUGCUGGAGAGAAAAUCCCAAAUUGCACCUGAGAAGCUACAAUCGAAGAACAAAUGAGAGCGAGAUUCUGGACUAGCACUACAGAGAAGGCACGACGGAUCAGAGAAAGCGUUUCGAGAGGAUAGGUAGUGCCUCUUAACAAUCGUCUACAUCGGAAGACCAGUUGCUUGACCAGAAGUAGUGCCUUCUUGUGAAAGGUAAUCUCUGUAGUGCCUUCUUGUGAAAGGUAAUCUCUGAUUUUUCCAAGUGGAGACCAGUUGCUUGACCAGAAGUAGCAGUUCUCCCCCUUACCUACAGACUGUUUGAUCCAUGGGUAAGCUAAGUCUCGUAAUUGUAACAACUGGUUAGCUAGCCAAGAGAAUUUCUGUUUUGUAUUAAUAACCCAGAAGUUAUUAAUGUUUCCAUCUAACACCUCUGUAGUAUACCAGUGAGCCCAAACAGAACCAGGCCUGAAGAACAACAACCAAAUCAGCUUUAGUGCAGAAGUAGUAUUCCAGCUGGAAAUGUCCUUCAACCCAAGACCCCCUUCUUCCUUGCUACGACACACAUUCUCCCAAGAAACUUUAGCAGAGGUAAGCCCUUCAGUUUUACCCUUCCAAAGGAAUUUAGCAGAGAUGGAGUUAAUUUCCGAAAUGCAUCCUUUAGGGAGAAUGAAAGCAUUUGACUAGAAGUUAAUAAUCCCAGCAAUGACUGUUGAAAGCAGUUGCAACCUUCCUGCAAAAGAUAAAGACCUGACUGUCCAAGAGUGAAGUUUGGAUUUUAUAGACUGAAUAAGAGAAACACACUGCAGCAAGGAGAUUUUCUUCGUGCAGAGGGGAACGCCAAGAGAACAGAGACGUCUUUUCGAUGUUAACAGCAAGUCCAGAUCUGUUUUCAAAAUCCUUCAACACUUCCAAGAUAUUUGUUAUGGAGUUAAGGGAGCCAUCGGAGAAGAUUAGCAGAUCAUCGGCAAAACAGAGUUGGGAGGAACCCUGAAGAGAAGAAUCUUUGAAUGGCUGAAAGCACCUCAUGACCAACUAUUGGCCAAGCAGCUUUGAAGAACGAAGAAGUAAACCCAUCAGGCCCAGGAGACUUGUUGGGGUUCAGCUUGAGUAGAGUCCUUGUGAUUUCAGCAGUUGUAGGAAAGGAGGAUAAGACUGAUUUAUGGUGCUCACAACAGUUAAAGCUUUGAAGCUCCAAAAACCAGGAGAAAGGAGAACUGAUAUGCAUCAAAUAUUGAGGGGCAAGAAACUGCUGGAAAUGAGAGACCGCAAUAUCACUCAUUUCCUCCGGGUCAGAAGUAGAUGAACCAUUAUCCAAGCAUAAAGAUCUGAUGGAGUUGUAGGAUGCUCUAGCCAUGGCAACUCUGUAGAAGAAAGUAGUGUUCUGGUCCCCUAGGUGUAACCAAUUGAUUCUGGACUUCUGUUUGAAAAAAGACUCCUCAAUUCCUCUGAGGAAUAACCAUUUAGAAUGGAGGUCCCUUUCAGCUUGGAAAAUGUCUGAGGAUGGAUUAUCUAUAGCUUGAACCUGCAUAACUUUUAACAAACUGUUAGUAACACUCACUCUCCUCUGAAUAUCUGAAAAGCUCUCUUUGUUUAGUGAUUUUAGUACUCUUUUAGAAUUUUCAAUUUGAACCCCAACAGUUGGGGGAUUAAAUGAUAUUUUUCCCGAUCAA